rnacentral:rRNA from 1 species
AUUGAACGCUGGCGGCAGGCCUAACACAUGCAAGUCGAGCGGAUGAAGGGAGCUUGCUCCUGGAUUCAGCGGCGGACGGGUGAGUAAUGCCUAGGAAUCUGCCUGGUCGUGGGGGAUAACGUCCGGAAACGGGCGCUAAUCUCGCAUACGACCUGAGGUAGAAAGUGGGGGAUCUUCGGACCUCACGCUAUCAGAUGAGCCUAGGUCGGAUUAGCUAGUUGGUGGGGUAACGGCCUACCAAGGCGACGAUCCGUAACUGGUCUGAGAGGAUGAUCAGUCACACUGGAACUGAGACACGGUCCAGACUCCUACGGGAGGCAGCAGUGGGGAAUCUUGGACAAUGGGCGAAAGCCUGAUCCAGCCAUGCCGCGUGUGUGAUGAAGGUCUUCGGAUUGUAAAGCACUGUAAGUUGGGAGGAAGGGCAGUAAGUUUAUACCUUGCUGUUUUGACGGUACCAACAGAAUAAGCACCGGCUAACUUCGUG